CCUACGGGAGGCAGCAGUGAGGUAUAUUGGUCAAUGGAUGAGAGUCUGAACCAGCCAAGUAGCGUGAAGGAUGACUGCCCUAUGGGUUGUAAACUUCUUUUAUAUGGGAAUAAAACGUUCCACGUGUGGGAUUUUGUAUGUACCAUAUGAAUAAGGAUCGGCUAACUCCGUGCCAGCAGCCGCGGUAAUACGGAGGAUCCGAGCGUUAUCCGGAUUUAUUGGGUUUAAAGGGAGCGUAGGUGGAUUGUUAAGUCAGUUGUGAAAGUUUGCGGCUCAACCGUAAAAUUGCAGUUGAAACUGGCAGUCUUGAGUACAGUAGAGGUGGGCGGAAUUCGUGGUGUAGCGGUGAAAUGCUUAGAUAUCACGAAGAACUCCGAUUGUGAAGGCAGUUCACUGGACUGCAACUGACACUGAGGCUCGAAAGUGUGGGUAUCAAACAGGAUUAGAUACCCGGGUAGUC
rnacentral:rRNA from 1 species